UACGGGGGGAGCAAGCGUUGUUCGGAUUUACUGGGCGUAAAGGGCGCGUAGGCGGCCAGCACAAGUCAGUUGUGAAAUCUCCGGGCUUAACUCGGAAAGGUCAACUGAUACUGUGCGACUAGAGUGCAGAAGGGGCAACUGGAAUUCUCGGUGUAGCGGUGAAAUGCGUAGAUAUCGAGAGGAACACCUGCGGCGAAGGCGGGUUGCUGGGCUGACACUGACGCUGAAGUGCGAAAGCUAGGGGAGCGAACGGG
rnacentral:rRNA from 1 species